CAAAGAUACUUAUCAGAAGUGGCCAAAUGAUCAUAUCACCGUAUAGUGUUAUUGAUGAAGAAAAAAUGGAUAGUUCAAAGCAUGUAUUUUUAAAAUUUUACAGUAGAAUAAUAAAAUUUUAAAUAUUUUAAUUUUUUUAAACAUACCUUAGAUCAGAUUUAAACUAUUAUUAAUGAUGUACGAUAUGAAAAAUUUACAUAUAAAAUAUAAAAUAAAAUAGAAAACUGCAUC
rnacentral:lncRNA from 1 species